AUGAAAUCUUAAUAUUAAAAGGACUAAAAGCUAAAGUUUGUUAACAACUGUGUAACCUUUAUUUGCCUUUGAAAUAUUUUAGUAAAACAUUCUUGAAGCUUUCAGGGAAGACCUGUAGACUUAAGUACUUUCUCUGCUUUUUUGUAUCUGGUCUUGGACACAUGCUAAGUUAUGUUCUUAUUAUUUUCACUGUUUGUAAGCUAUUGAUUGUAUAUAAUCUUUAAACCAUCCAAAUAUCCAGCAUACAUUUCCAUGUCACCACAACCCACUAUUGACGCCAUGAAUGAAAUAGCUGGUUAGAAAGCCAAAGGUCGUCAUUUCUCAAUCCCUAAAUGAAGAAGUAAAAUGCCUGAUCUCUUUCAUCUCAAAGCAUAUUUCUGGUCAAAUCUGAAUAUCUGUGUGAAGGAAAGAGACAUUUAAAUUUGAGAUUCUGCUUAAACUUUUAAGUUGAAUUUGACUAUAGCCAUAUUCAUUCUUUGUAUGUAUCUCUAACAGGUCUUUUGUAUGCCUGGUGAUAUUAUAAUCUGUCUUGAGUUUGGACAGUUCUUUCAGCUAAAUGUGAAUUCUUAUUGUAGCUUUUUUCCCCUCCUGAAGAUGAAAGCAGAAAAAUCUACCAUCUGCUACCAUUCUCUCAAGAAUGCUUGGUAACAUAGAUUAUUUUGACUUUGUAUAUAUUGUCUUUAAAAACUGACAGCAGCAGUCUCCCCUGCUGCCCCACCUUUUUAAGAUAUCUCGUUUACUGUGCUGGGUAUAUAGACAAUAAAUGUGUAAUGAUAGACAGUUCUAAAAGAAUUAAGUGCAAAAAAGUGCUUUUACCUCUAGUUAACUCUGAUAUUUUCCAGAGGGCCCCUGGAACAUGUCAGAAGAAUUUUUUCUCAUUAGAGAAAGUAUUUGACUAAUUUGGCUUAUUUAUCUGAUAUAUAUAUAUUUACCAGGAAAGCACUGUCAAAGAGAAUAAUGCUAAACUUUGUUACUGAAUGUUUUGUAUUACAGAAAUAUCAGAAUUUCCUUAUGUCAACUGUCUUACAGUGAGCUCUCGUCAGAUCUUUGACCAUUGUCAUUUGUAAGUUUUUUGUCAUUUAUAGUCACUGUUUUGUUGUUCCUGGACUGGUAAAGAACUGGAUUUCAGCAGAACAGGUAUUAGUUGCAUAAGAUUACAUAAACUAAAGAAAAUGGUUUUGUGUCUUUUUGUUUCGAAUGUUGCUGAUAGUGUUUUGAGCUUGUUCUCUUAAGCUGACAACAGUUUAGUAGAUGGCUGUCUUUAUAAGCAGAAUUGAGACAUCCUUCUCUCUACCUGAUCCCUACAGAGUUUAAAAACUUUUAGUGACUGUUUUUGUAUUCCAUGGCAGUAUGUUUAUUUGCAUGAGUUUAGUAAGAAUCUGCUUUCCUUGUGAGAAGACUAAUUAAGAACACUGGUUAUACUGCCAGGGCUUUGGCUGGAAUGUCAUACCUGAGAGACAUGUGCAUGGACUCAGAUGUGAACAACUUUAAGGAACUAAGAUUGACUUUAUAGGGCCAACAAAGCCCCUUGGAAGAACUAGCCUGGUACCUUGCUUGCAGAGUUCCCAGCAGCCUUACCAGGUGAGUAAAGAAAGUCGCUUCCUGGCAGGUGCAGAGACCUCGAGAAGAGAGGAAUUCAUCCAAAUCUACAGGUACUGCAGGCAAAGCCUGAUGGCAGGUCUGGCUUGGCUGUCUAGCCUCAAGAGGCCUUUAAAAGUUCAAUCUGAAGUUCCUUGCAAAAAGUUCCAGCAAAGCAUAUUUAAAAGACCCUGUGUAAUCAAUUGCUCUUCUUGCUGCACUUGUGCAAAUAAUCAAGCUAGCUGUUAAUUAUUUUCUUAACCUAGUUACUUCUAAUAAAAAUGAAAGUGAUUUUAAAGUAUUGUUUCAAUAAUGCAGCCUCCUUCCAGAAUAAAAAAUCCAACUCCAGAUGUUGCUACAUAACCUAAUAACACAAUUUGUUUUAUCUUGCCUAGAAGCCACAAAACUGCAAAUAGUAAUAGAAACGAAAC